rnacentral:rRNA from 1 species
AGUGAACGCUGGCGGUAGGCCUAACACAUGCAAGUCGAACGGCAGCACAGUAAGAGCUUGCUCUUACGGGUGGCGAGUGGCGGACGGGUGAGGAAUACAUCGGAAUCUACUUUUUCGUGGGGGAUAACGUCGGGAAACUUACGCUAAUACCGCAUACGACCUACGGGUGAAAGCAGGGGAUCUUCGGACCUUGCGCGAUUGAAUGAGCCGAUGUCGGAUUAGCUAGUUGGCGGGGUAAAGGCCCACCAAGGCGACGAUCCGUAGCUGGUCUGAGAGGAUGAUCAGCCACACUGGAACUGAGACACGGUCCAGACUCCUACGCGAGGCAGCAGUGGGGAAUAUUGGACAAUGGGCGCAAGCCUGAUCCAGCCAUACCGCGUGGGUGAAGAAGGCCUUCGGGUUGUAAAGCCCUUUUGUUGGGAAAGAAAAGCAGCAGGUUAAUACCCCGCUGUUCUGACGGUACCCAAAGAAGAAGCACCGGCUAACUUCGUG